rnacentral:rRNA from 1 species
UGCGUAGGCGGAUUGGCAAGUCAGAAGUGAAAUCCAUGGGCUUAACCCAUGAACUGCUUUUGAAACUGUUAGUCUUGAGUGAAGUAGGGGUAGGCGGAAUUCCCGGUGUAGCGGUGAAAUGCGUAGAGAUCGGGAGGAACACCAGUGGCGAAGGCGGCCUACUGGGCUUUAACUGACGCUGAGGCACGAAAGUGUGGGUAAGCAAACA